GAUGAACGCUGGCGGCGUGCCUAAUACAUGCAAGUCGAGCGAACAGACGAGGAGCUUGCUCCUCUGACGUUAGCGGCGGACGGGUGAGUAACACGUGGAUAACCUACCUAUAAGACUGGGAUAACUUCGGGAAACCGGAGCUAAUACCGGAUAACAUGUUGAACCGCAUGGUUCAACAGUGAAAGACGGUCUUGCUGUCACUUAUAGAUGGAUCCGCGCCGCAUUAGCUAGUUGGUAAGGUAACGGCUUACCAAGGCAACGAUGCGUAGCCGACCUGAGAGGGUGAUCGGCCACACUGGAACUGAGACACGGUCCAGACUCCUACGGGAGGCAGCAGUAGGGAAUCUUCCGCAAUGGGCGAAAGCCUGACGGAGCAACGCCGCGUGAGUGAAGAAGGUCUUCGGAUCGUAAAACUCUGUUAUUAGGGAAGAACAAAUGUGUAAGUAACUAUGCACGUCUUGACGGUACCUAAUCAGAAAGCCACGGCUACUACGUG
rnacentral:rRNA from 1 species